GCUGGGUAGCUAUGUAUGGACGGGAUAAGUGCUGAAAGCAUCUAAGCAUGAAGCCCCCCUCAAGAUGAGAUUUCCCAACUUCGGUUAUAAGAUCCCUCAAAGAUGAUGAGGUUAAUAGGUUCGAGGUGGAAGCGUAGCGAUACGUGGAGCUGACGAAUACUAAUCGAUCGAAGACUUAAUCAAUUU
rnacentral:rRNA from 1 species